rnacentral:rRNA from 1 species
AACGAACGCUGGCGGCAUGCCUAACACAUGCAAGUCGAACGAGACCUUCGGGUCUAGUGGCGCACGGGUGCGUAACGCGUGGGAACCUGCCCUUAGGUUCGGAAUAACUCCCCGAAAGGGGUGCUAAUACCGGAUAAUGUCUUCGGACCAAAGAUUUAUCGCCUUUGGAUGGGCCCGCGUUGGAUUAGCUAGUUGGUAGGGUAAAAGCCUACCAAGGCGACGAUCCAUAGCUGGUCUGAGAGGAUGAUCAGCCACACUGGGACUGAGACACGGCCCAGACUCCUACGGGAGGCAGCAGUGGGGAAUAUUGGACAAUGGGCGAAAGCCUGAUCCAGCAAUGCCGCGUGAGUGAUGAAGGCCUUAGGGUUGUAAAGCUCUUUUAACCGGGAUGAUAAUGACAGUACCAGGAGAAUAAGCUCCGGCUAACUCCGUG